AUUGAACGCUGGCGGCAGGCUUAACACAUGCAAGUCGAGCGGAGAUGAGGUGCUUGCACCUUAUCUUAGCGGCGGACGGGUGAGUAAUGCUUAGGAAUCUGCCAUUUAGUGGGGGACAACAUUCCGAAAGGGAUGCUAAUACCGCAUACGUCCUACGGGAGAAAGCAGGGGAUCUUCGGGCCUUGCGCUAAAUGAUGAGCCUAAGUCGGAUUAGCUAGUUGGUGGGGUAAAGGCCUACCAAGGCGACGAUCUGUAGCGGGUCUGAGAGGAUGAUCCGCCACACUGGGACUGAGACACGGCCCAGACUCCUACGGGAGGCAGCAGUGGGGAAUAUUGGACAAUGGGCGGAAGCCUGAUCCAGCCAUGCCGCGUGUGUGAAGAAGGCCUUUUGGUUGUAAAGCACUUUAAGCGAGGAGGAGGCUACUGAGACUAAUACUCUUGGAUAGUGGACGUUACUCGCAGAAUAAGCACCGGCUAACUCUGUGCCAGCCGCCGCCGUAAAAC
rnacentral:rRNA from 1 species